CCUACGGGCGGCUGCAGUGGGGAAUAUUGGGCAAUGGAGGCAACUCUGACCCAGCAACGCCGCGUGAAUGAUGAAGGUCUUCGGAUUGUAAAGUUCUUUUCUAAGGGAAGAAGAAAGUGACGGUACCUUAGGAAUAAGCCUCGGCUAACUACGUGCCAGCAGCCGCGGUAAUACGUAGGAGGCAAGCGUUAUCCGGAAUGACUGGGCGUAAAGGGUGCGUAGGUGGUUUGACAAGUUAGUAGCGCAACUCCGGAGCUCAACUUCGGAACUACUACUAAAACUGUUGGACUUGAGUGCAGGAGGGGCAAUCGGAAUUCCCAGUGUAGCGGUGGAAUGCGUAGAUAUUAGGAGGAACACCAGUGGCGAAGGCGGAUUGCUAAACUGCCACUGACAUUGAUGCUCGAAAGUGUGGGUAUCAAACAGGAUUAGAUACCCGAGUAGUC
rnacentral:rRNA from 1 species